GAUGAACGCUGGCGGCGUGCCUAAUACAGGAAAGUCGAGCGAACAGACGAGGAGCUUGCUCCUCUGACGUUAGCGGCGGACGGGUGAGUAACACGUGGAUAAUUUACCUAUAAGACUGGGAUAACUUCGGGAAACCGGAGCUAAUACCGGAUAAUAUAUUGAACCGCAUGGUUCAAUAGUGAAAGACGGUUUUGCUGUCACUUAUAGAUGGAUCCGCGCCGCAUUAGCUAGUUGGUAAGGUAACGGCUUACCAAGGCAACGAUGCGUAGCCGACCUGAGAGGGUGAUCGGCCACACUGGAACUGAGACACGGUCCAGACUCCUACGGGAGGCAGCAGUAGGGAAUCUUCCGCAAUGGGCGAAAGCCUGACGGAGCAACGCCGCGUGAGUGAUGAAGGUCUUCGGAUCGUAAAACUCUGUUAUUAGGGAAGAACAAAUGUGUAAGUAACUAUGCACGUCUUGACGGUACCUAAUCAGAAAGCCACGGCUAACUACGUG
rnacentral:rRNA from 1 species